UUCAGGUGUAAAACAUAGUGAUUUGACAGCUGGAUAUGUUAUGCUGUGCUCACCAGAAAUGUAGCUACCAUCUGUCCCCGUACAACACUAUUACAAUAGGAUCGACUAUCUUCCCUAUGCUGCACCUUUCAUCCCCUGGAAGAUUCUUAUGUCUUAUAAAGUAGAUGUCAUCAUUCAACUUUAAUGGAAAAUAAACCUCAAUAUAGCUGGAAUUACAAGUUGGGAAGACAUGUAGAUUUCAUUUUUAGAUGAAUCCGACUCUGAACCAACUCUUUGAAACUCCUAAAUGAUGGGUGAGACAGGAGAAAUCUAUUAAAUAACUAUGAAGAUACAAACUAAUGUGUGAGUAAUAUUGAAAUGCAGAGACAGGACAAGAGUGAGUAUUUAAAAUAAGGUUUUACUCUUUCUCUAAAAUUUUUAAGGAAGAAAAUCCUUUUUGAGCAUUCUUUGUGUAUAAACUACUGAGCCAUGUCAAGCGAAUCCUUCUAGUCAAUCUAGCUUAAAAAGUUUGAAGCAUGCUCAAGAGCUUUGUUGCUGUUAUAAGUCAGCCAGAGUCUGACUAUUACACUUCCAGAUGAAGACUCCCCACAGAGCAUUGUAGUCUACGGACUUUUAAUUUGUCUGCAACCACCUUUCCUUCCCACCUGCUUGUCAUUUGUAGAUUUGGAAGAUUGUUGUUGUUGUUGUUGUUGUUGUUGUUGUUGUUGUUUUUAUGCUAGUGAUAUUUUGUUUACAGAUUUUAAGUCAAAACAAUGCAAAAGUCUGUCGGCUUUACUUUCAAUAGAGCUAAAACUGAUUUCAUCUCAUUAUUGAUAUCUUUUUCUAGGUAUGACUUAGACCUGCUAUUCUAUUCCUGUGAUUAUGAGAGAGGUAUGAAUGUGAAUCUGUCCAAGACAUAGUGUCAAGAUCCUACUUUAAUUCCUUCCAGAUGACUCACCUACUGGUAUUUGGUCAAUCAGCAUCUCCAAGUGUAUCUCCUUGGUGAUGGUUCAGUAAUAUUUCAUUUUUGAUGACACAGUCAAAAAGUCCUGGGUGCCCCAUAGACUGGCAUCUUCCUUGCUCCAGCCAAUAUUCCUAUUUCAUGGAUUUUUUUUGAGACCUAAUUGCUAAUGACAAUGACCCCUCCCCACCUUCUUUAUGAAGAAUACAUCAUUUCUCUGUUGGAAACUUCAGUUUUAAAAUGCUGCUACAUGGAGACUGCUAUCUAGAGCAUCAGAGCAGAAUAUGCUUUUGAGAAAACUGGCCUCAUCUCCUCCAGGAAGACAUUCUUAUCCUGUCCCUGUAUGAGUAAGCAAAUGCAAGCAAAUAUCUAUAGGAAAUACACUAAAAGUCUAUUUGUAUGAUACCAAGAAAUCUAUUUUAACUGACUUUUCAUCCUGGACUAAAUAUUAAGCUUAGAAUCAUAUGAAUAGAAGCACCAGAGUGACCCAACCCCAAAUCACACAGGCACAUGUGCAGAUGCAUACAAACUCAUACUCACAUGUGCAUAAAUUGCUUAACAGAAGGCAUUGGAAUAUAUUAGCUUUUUUCAUUAGGGAAAGGAGCUGAUAUCAUUGAGCAUCUACUGAGCAUGUCUCAGGCUUGCUGUUUUUGUUUCUCCUAAAAGAUGACUUUCCUCUGAACAGGCAAUUUCAUCGGACUUUAUUUCAUCAGACUAUCAUCCAAGACUAAACCUGGACAUGAAUUAAGUGAAAGUGUAAAUAUUCUUUCAAAUAUAUUUAUAUGUAAGAAAAUAUCUUGUUCUUCUGAACACUUUCUUGAGAUCAUGUUUCAAGUAUGGAAAAACUGAUGCUUCUGGCAUCACAGUGGGGCUCAGGUGUGGUGUUGAGCUGCUUGAUGUGGCUUUUUCCUCACAGAAACAAGCCGAGGUUUGGCAUUUCAGAGCUGCAGUGAGAAGCCAAUAGUGGCUUCAUAAAUGAAAACUACUGAGGAAUUCGUUUAAGGGAACAAACGGCUCUUCCUAUUCUUAAGGAUCUCACAGUCCAGUGAGGAAAUACAAAACCAAUGUGAUAUCUCAAGAUAUAAAUGUAGGCAAUAUUUAGAAUAUGAAUUGGAGAUGUCAGAAAUGUUUUUUUAAGAAGCAGUUGUUAGAAUAGUUUAUGUAUUGUGAUUCUAUUUUAUGAAUUAUAUUUAGAAGUAUCAAUUAAUUUAAAUGUUAAUUUCAUUGAUUACACAGGGGGGAAAAGGUCAGAUAAGGCCCUGUAAUUUUUUGUUUAUAUGUUUGGUCUAUAAGAAUAAUCUCAAAUCACUCAGCAGAAGAUCUCAUUUACAAAGUUGCACAUUGGGGAAUAGUUUUGUUUCUGAGAUGGUUAGCUAUCUGAUGUAAUAUAAAUCUUGAUGGUUCUAAUUCUAAUAUUCAAAUAAUCUCUUUUGAAAAGAGUAGCUGUAAAUAUUUGUCUACAGUGUUGUUAGGCCUAUUUACAUUCUUCUACACCAAAUACAUUCAUGGAAAAUCCAA